CAGAGCCCGUUAAUGGGUGAUGGCGUGCCUUUUGUAGAAUGAACCGGCGAGUUACGAUUUGAUGCAAGGUUAAGCAGUAAAUGUGGAGCCGUAGCGAAAGCGAGUCUGAAUAGGGCGUUUAGUAUUUGGUCGUAGACCCGAAACCAGGUGAUCUACCCUUGGUCAGGUUGAAGUUCAGGUAACACUGAAUGGAGGACCGAACCGACUUACGUUGAAAAGUGAGCGGAUGAACUGAGGGUAGCGGAGAAAUUCCAAUCGAACCUGGAGAUAGCUGGUUCUCUCCGAAAUAGCUUUAGGGCUAGCCUCAAGUGAUGAUUAUUGGAGGUAGAGCACUGUUUGGACGAGGGGCCCCUCUCGGGUUACCGAAUUCAGACAAACUCCGAAUGCCAAUUAAUUUAACUUGGGAGUCAGAACAUGGGUGAUAAGGUCCGUGUUCGAAAGGGAAACAGCCCAGACCACCAGCUAAGGUCCCAAAAUAUAUGUUAAGUGGAAAAGGAUGUGGCGUUGCCCAGACAACUAGGAUGUUGGCUUAGAAGCAGCCAUCAUUUAAAGAGUGCGUAAUAGCUCACUAGUCGAGUGACACUGCGCCGAAAAUGUACCGGGGCUAAACAUAUUACCGAAGCUGUGGAUUGUCCUUUGGACAAU
rnacentral:rRNA from 1 species